UACGAAGGGGGCUAGCGUUGCUCGGAAUCACUGGGCGUAAAGCGCACGUAGGCGGAUCUUUAAGUCAGGGGUGAAAUCCUGGAGCUCAACUCCAGAACUGCCUUUGAUACUGGGGAUCUCGAGUCCGGAAGAGGUGAGUGGAACUCCGAGUGUAGAGGUGAAAUUCGUAGAUAUUCGGAAGAACACCAGUGGCGAAGGCGGCUCACUGGUCCGGUACUGACGCUCAGGCACGAAAGCGUGGGGAGCAAAAGGG
rnacentral:rRNA from 1 species